AAUCACCCCUUGGUAUACAUUCAUACUAGAAUCAUUACCAAGUUAUAUUUUUCUAAACUGUUUUUCAAAAUCAAACGAGAUAAAUACUUUGUAUACAUUCAUACGAGAAUCAUUACAAAGUUAAACUCUCUUUUCGAAACAUUUUUAAACAAUUCACCAACACUUUUCAGACAAAUAUAUAAGUGAUCCAGCAAUUAAGAGCCCAU
rnacentral:lncRNA from 1 species